UCCGAUUUGUCACCGGCAGUCUCCUAUGAGUCCCCGUCUUUAACUAGCAUGUCAAGCCCAGGUAAGGUUCUUCGCGUUGCAUCGAAUUAAGCCACAUGCUCCGCCGCUUGUGCGGGCCCCCGUCAAUUCCUUUGAGUUUUAGCCUUGCGGCCGUACUCCCCAGGCGGAGUGCUUAAUGCGUUAGCUGCGGCACGGAGAGGGUUGAAGACCUCCCCACACCUAGCACUCAACGUUUACGGCUGGGACUAC
rnacentral:misc_RNA from 1 species